rnacentral:lncRNA from 7 species
GUCACACAACCUUUCUCCUCAUCGGCUGACGACUGAUGGCAACCGAGAUCCAGUCCAUAGACCUAGAUUAAUCUCCCCCAUCCUGGUUGCUCGACCGAGUUGCUCAGAUCCAUCGACGAAGGGAGCGACUACAUCACCGCCACUGUCACUUAUCCCUAUCCACAGACGCUUCGUCUCCCAAGCAGUGUAGGAAGGGGAUAUGUCCAUCCGCACCGGGAUCUCUCGUACCCUGUUCGUCUCCCUUCAAUCUGUAACUCUUGAGGAUUACAACACCAACCAGACGUUUGAGGACUGGUGGAGGAAGGCCAACAAGAGUACAAUGAAGGAUAAGAGAAAAUGGGUUAACUAUGUCAUCAUUUUGGGGGAUUGGUGCCUCUAGAUGCAUAGAAACAGAAUGUUCCUUGAUGGGAUUAGUCCAUCCAUUCAGAGAUUGCAGCAGUAUUUCAGUGAUGAGUUCUCCUGUUGGCUCAUGGCGGGCGCCAGGAGUUUGGGUUAGCUUGGUUUCCCUAGUUCCAUGAGGAUUAUCGGAUCCAUUCCUUUUGAUCCUUUGUAACCUUUUUUUGUUUCUGUUUUCUUGCUUGGCUUUUGAUUAUUUUCUGAUGUUGUCUUGGUUGUAAGCCCUAUUUUUUCGCUCUCUAAUAUAAAGAUGUGUAGCUCU